GAAGAACGAGGGAGGCGUGCUUAACACAUGCAAGUCGAACGGAAAGGCCUCAGCUUGCUGGGGUACUCGAGUGGCGAACGGGUGAGUAACACGUGGGUGAUCUGCCUUGCACUCUGGGAUAAGCUUGGGAAACUGGGUCUAAUACCGGAUAUGCACUGCCUUUCGUGUGGUGGUUGGCCCGUUUUUUCGGUGCCCGCUGCGCUCGCGGCCUCUCAGCUUGUUGGUGGGGUCAUGGCCUACCAAGGCGUCGACGGGUAGCCGGCCUGAGAGGGUGUACGGCCACAUUGGGACUGAGAUACGGCCCAGACGCCUACGGGAGGCAGCAGGGGGGAAGAGGGCACAAUGGGCGGAAGCCUGAGGCAGCGACGCCGCGUGGGGGAUGACGGCCUUCGGGUUGUAAACGCCGGGCGACAGGGACGAAGCGUUGGGUGACGGGACCGGGAGAAGAAGCACCGGCUAACUACGUG
rnacentral:rRNA from 1 species